CGGCUCGUGAGGGGCCCCGGGCAGGAGCGGCGCAAGCCCGGUGGGGUUUGAGCGCUGCCAGGUCUGAGGGAAGGCGGUUCCGCUCCCCAGACAGGCCCUAUGGUUCAGCCGGACGGUUCCGCGGCCGCUUCCCCCGGGGCGGAGGCCGAGCUUGGGCCCCGGAGAGGCGGAAUGUCGGCUGUUCGCUCGCCAAAAGCUGCAUUUCCAAGGCCUCCCAGCUCUCUAAGGGUCCCCCGCGGCAGGGCUCCCCGGGAGUGGCGUUUGUCCGCUUUUGAAGGGCUCAGGACGUGCGACAAGCGCUGCCCUUGGGCAGGGUUCGUGUUCCGGGCCCCGCUGUGCUUUGUGCUGAGCUCUGCUGCUCGCUGGAGAGGGCAGAACGCGGCGGGAUUCUUUGUGAAACCCUCGGCGUUUGAGGGGUGAAUGUGCCGCGCCUUUGUUCCCGGCUUCUCUGCAGCACGGUGCUCCCACCCUUCAGUCCCCUGCCAGCGCAUCCAGGCGCAUCCAGGAACGGCUUUGGCAUUCCAGGUGCUCAGGCCGUGUGACUCGUGAACUGCUCUGGAUUGAUGGAUUACCCACUUUUGUAAGAAUCUGGUUUUAAUAAACGCAUAGGCAUGGCUUACUUGAAUCCCCAAAUUUUGUAAAAUUGUAUUUCAUGCAGCUAGAUGACAGAGAAGGCAGGAAGAAAGUACUUUGUACUCAUCUCUGUGGUUUAUUGCUGUGUCUCAUGCUGUCACUGCAUAGAUGUAGAACAGGAUGUGGCUUCUUUUAUUGUAGCAUUAGAAUGCUUUACUCCUGGCCAGCUGCACAGCUUGUUUGUGUGCAGAACAGUUCUGAUGUUAAAAGGAGCAAACCUUAAACUAUGUAAGUUAAGCAUUGUGUGGUCUGUUCUGUUCCCAAAUUCGUGGUGCCUCCUGUGUCAUGGUGUCGGGUCAGGGGAGCUCAUGGGUGUUGCUGUUUUGGUGGCCAGCCUUUAAAUUCUUGAGCUGAACUGCCCUGGAUCAUAAACUGUCUUUAAUUGCAGGGAAUGAGCUGGAGAACACUGAGUUAUUCCCGUGGAACUUUAUGUUCUCCACACAAAAUUUAACUGCUGGUUUUGCUCAUGUUUCUGACUGUGAACUCUUUACUGUGAUAUCAGUCACACAUUAUGAAGCUGCAAAAGAAAUUACUUUGUAAAGAUGGUGAAAUGAGAGUGUGGGUUAACUUUAGGGAAGAAAAAAUAAAUUUAAAACUCCUCAUAAAUACAUGGAA